rnacentral:rRNA from 1 species
CACGUAGGCACCAAGCGUUGUCCGGAUUUAUUGGGCGUAAAGAGCUCGUAGGCGGUUCAGUAAGUCGGGUGUGAAAACUUUGGGCUUAACCCAAAGCGUGCAUCCGAUACUGCUGUGACUUGAGUACGGUAGGGGAGCGGGGAAUUCCUAGUGUAGCGGUGAAAUGCGCAGAUAUCGGGAGGAACACCAAUGGCGAAGGCAGCUCGCUGGGACGUUACUGACGCUGAGACGCGAAAGCGUGGGGAGCGAACAGG